rnacentral:rRNA from 1 species
GACAGAGGUCCCAAGCGUUAGGCGGAAUCACUGGGCUUAAAGCGUGUGUAGGCGGAUGCCUAAGUACCUUGUGAAAUCCCACGGCUCACCCGUGGAACUGCUUGGUAUACUGGGUGUCUUGAGCCACUUAGGGGCUACCGGAACAAAUGGUGGAGCGGUGAAAUGCGUAGAUAUCAUUUGGAACGCCAAUGGUGAAAACAGGUAGCUGGGAGUGUGCUGACGCUGAGGAGCGAAAGCGUGGGGAGCGAACAGG